UACAGAGGGGGCAAGCGUUAUUCGGAAUUAUUGGGCGUAAAGGGCGCGUAGGCGGCUUUUCAAGUGACGGGUGAAAUCCCUCGGCUUAACCGAGGAACUGCCGUCCAAACUGCUUCGCUUGAGACCGGGAGAGGUGAGUGGAAUUCCCAGUGUAGCGGUGAAAUGCGUAGAUAUUGGGAGGAACACCAGUGGCGAAGGCGGCUCACUGGACCGGUACUGACGCUGAUGCGCGAAAGCGUGGGGAGCAAACGGG
rnacentral:rRNA from 1 species